rfam:Triticum aestivum genome assembly, contig: Triticum_aestivum_CS42_TGACv1_scaffold_487830_6AS
AUACCUUUCUUGGCCUUUUGGCUAAGAUUAAUAUAGUAUCUGUUUUUAUCAAUUUAAUAUUUGAUAUGUGGGCCAUGUGCCCAUAAUGAUAUUAAAUUUAUUUUUUAUGGGAAAGGACCAUCACAAUGGCUUGCUAUUGGGGUUCUCAAGUGUCUUCUUGGUGUUGCACUACAGCUCAGGUAGGUGCACCCCAA